UUGAUGGACUGCUGUUGGCUCAGCUGAAGUCUCCCGUCAAGGCUCCAUUGCUUUUCCCAGGCACCACAGGAACUGAAGAUGCUAUGUUGGAAACAACAGUGGGCACCAUGAGUGGUAAGCUGGUCUCCUGAGGCACUCACCUCCCUCUAUCUUCUCCUUCCUCUCCAGAAGCCCCAGGAUGCUGCCCCUCUGCCACCUGCCCCGUAGCCUUGAACCCAAAGACAAGAACCAGAGUCCCUUAGUUAGGGACUGCUGGUGACCUCACAGCAGGAAGUGGUUCUAAAAUGAUCCUGAUGGCCGCCAACACCACCCACAGGUCAGGUGGGCAGCAGCGGUCCCAGCUGUGCUCCUUAUUUAGCCUCAUUUUCAACCUGCUGACACUGUGUGGCUGUCUUCUGCGGAUGUGA
rnacentral:lncRNA from 1 species